rnacentral:tRNA from 5 species
GGGGACGUAGUUCAAUGGGAGAACGGUGGUCUCCAAAGCCACAUAUCGGGGUUCGAUUCCUCGCGUCCUUGC